rnacentral:sRNA from 1 species
CCUGCGCCAGCGAUUGCAGUGGAAAUCUUUCGUAAAUUUAUAUGGAUCCAUUUUCAGUUAGAAACUAACGAAAGAUUGGAACGAAAAGCGCGGUCGUUA